AUCAUUAACUAAUGUAUUGGCACUUUACUGGGAUUCACUUCUCAGUAUUGUUUGCUUCUAUACUGUGAACCUCUGGCGAUGAAGGUCGUAACUGACCUUCGGGAGAGACUCAGGACAUAUAGGCUAUAAUGGGUAGGCCUGUUCUGGGGUUUGAUCGAUGCCAAUCAGGAUUACCUUUCUUCCUUUGGGAAGGAAGGUGCCUGGUACCCUUUACCAUAUACCAUGAAUUCAGAAUUGAAAGUAUAAUAAAAUAACAACUUUUAACAAUGGAUCUCUUGGUUCUCGCAUCGAUGAAGAACGUAGCAAAGUGCGAUAACUAGUGUGAAUUGCAUAUUCGUGAAUCAUCGAGUCUUUGAACGCAGCUUGCACUCUAUGGAUCUUCUAUAGAGUACGCUUGCUUCAGUAUCAUAACCAACCCACACAUAAAAUUUAUUUUAUGUGGUGAUGGACAAUUUCGGUAAAAUUUAAUUAUUAUACCGAUUGUCUAAAAUACAGCCUCUUUGUAAUUUUCAUUAAAUUACGAACUACCUAGCCAUCGUGCUUUUUUGGUCCAACCAAAAAACAUUUAAUCUGGGGGUUCUGCCAACCAAGCAGAUAUUUAAUGCUCUUUAACUAUGAUCUGAAGUCAAGUGGGACUACCCGCUGAACUUAAGCAUAUCA
rnacentral:rRNA from 1 species